CCACCGGGUGGACAUGUGGUUUAUUCGAUGCAACGCGAAGAACCUUACCAUGGCUCUUGACAUGCCACAGAACUUUCCAGAGAUGGAUUGGUGCCUUCGGGAACUGUGAGACAGGUGCUGCAUGGCUGUCGUCAGCUCGUGUUGUGAAAUGUUGGGUUAAGUCCCGCAACGAGCGCAACCCUUAUCCUUUGUUGCCAGCGGUUCGGCCGGGAACUCAAAGGAAACUGCCAGUGAUCAACUGGAAGAAGGUGGGGAUGACGUCCAGUCAUCAUGGCCCUUACCACCAGGGCUACACACGUGCUACAAUGGCAUAUACCAAGAGAAGCGACCUCCCGAGAGCGAGCGGACCUCAUAAAGUAUGUCGUAAUCCGGAUUGGAGUCUGCAACUCCACUCCAUGAAGUCCGAAUCGCUAGUAAUCGUAGAUCAGAAUGCUACGGUGAAUACGUUCCCGGGCCUUGUACACACCCGCCCGUAAA
rnacentral:rRNA from 1 species